rnacentral:miRNA from 1 species
UUAGUCUGACACACAUUUUACACUAUCCUGGAAUGCAGCAGUGAAUCCUGGGUUAUUGUUUCAGUCUAUCAUAUUUUUGGGAAGUG